UCACUUUCAACAACGGAUCUCUUGGUUCUCGCAUCGAUGAAGAACGUAGCGAAGUGCGAUAAGUAAUGUGAAUUGCAGAAUUCCGUGAAUCAUCGAAUUUUUGAACGCAAAUCGCACUCUCUGGUAUUCCAAGGGAGUAUGCCUGUUUGAGGGUUAAUU
rnacentral:rRNA from 1 species